rnacentral:rRNA from 1 species
GUUUUAUUUAAUAUUUGAUUCUGGUUUAUUUUAAUUGCUUUUUGAUUGUUUAAACAUGUGAAUUUUUGUGUGAAUAUGAUUUAUUUCUUAAAUAGAAAGAUUUUAAUAUAUUAUUCGCAGUUUUUAAUUUUAUACAUAUUUAAUUAUUUAAGAUAUGGCAAAUUGUUUUAUGAUUAGCAAAAAUUGUGCCAGCAGCUGCGGUUAUACAAUUAAUCAAAGUGAUUUUUAUUGGGUAAAUUAUUGAAUUUAUUUAAAUUGGUUAUAAAAUUUUAAAUUUUUAGGUGAAAUUUGAAUUUUUUAUUAUUAACCUGGUAUAAAUUAUAUUAUAAGAUAUUCUAUUUUUAUAAACUAGGAUUAGAUACCCUAUUAUUUAGAAUUUAAAUUUAUUCUCUAGUAUUAUAAGUUAUGAUCUUUAAAUUGAAAGGAUUUGACGGUAAUUUUGAUCAUUUUAGAGGAACCUGUUCUGUAAUUGAUAAUCCACGAUAAAUUUUACCUUUAAAAAUUGUUUGUAUAUCUCUGUCUGAUGAAUGUUUUAUUAGGAAAUUUUCGUUAAUUUUUGUUGAAAUUUAUGUCAGGUCAAGGUGCAGCUAUUUAUAGGUUUGAAAUGGGUUACAUUUAAUAUUUAAUUAUUGGAUUAAAGCGUGUAUUUGUUUUAUGAAAUUGGAUUUAGUUGUAAUAGAUAAUAUAUAUUAUCUGUGAUAUAUGUUCUUGGUUAAGUACACAUCGCCCGUCACUCUCAUUAUAAGAUGAGAUAAGUCGUAACAAAGUAGUCCUACCGGAAGGUGGGGCUAGAUUAU